rnacentral:misc_RNA from 1 species
UCUGCCUCUGCAGGGCUCUCAGGAU